ensembl:snoRNA small nucleolar RNA SNORD47
AACCAAUGAUGACUUGAUUUUGCCAUAUGAGUACUCUGAUUACACUCAAUACCGUUCCAUCAUUUACACUGAGGUU